UCCGGUUGAUCCUGCCGGACCCGACUGCUAUCAGAGUGGGACUAAGCCAUGCGAGUCAACAUAGCAAUAUGUGGCAUACGGCUCAGUAACACGUAGUCAACAUGCCCAGGGGACGUGGAUAACCUCGGGAAACUGAGGAUAAACCGCGAUAAGUCACUGCUUCUGGAAUGGGCAACGACUUAAAUCUAUAUGGCCCCUGGAUUGGACUGCGGCCGAUCAGGCUGUUGGUGAGGUAAUGGCCCACCAAACCUGUAACCGGUACGGGCUCUGAGACGAGGAGCCCGGAGAUGGGCACUGAGACAAGGGCCCAGGCCCUAUGGGGCGCAGCAGGCGCGAAACCUCUGCAAUAGGCGAAAGCCUGACAGGGUUACUCUGAGUGAUUUCCGUUAAGGAGAUCUUUUGGCACCUCUAAAAAUGGUGCAGAAUAAGGGGUGGGCAAGUCUGGUGUCAGCCGCCGCGGUAAUACCAGCACCCCGAGUGGUCGGGACGUUUAUUGGGCCUAAAGCAUCCGUAGCCGGUUCUGCAAGUCUUCCGUUAAAUCCACCUGCUUAACAGAUGGGCUGCGGAAGAUACUAUAGAGCUAGGAGGCGGGAGAGGCAAGCGGUACUCGAUGGGUAGGGGUAAAAUCCGUUGAUCCAUUGAAGACCACCAGUGGCGAAGGCGGCUUGCCAGGACGCGCUCGACGGUGAGGGAUGAAAGCUGGGGGAGCAAACCGGAUUAGAUACCCGGGUAGUCCCAGCUGUAAACGAUGCAGACUCGGUGAUGAAUUGGCUUUAUGCCAAUUCAGUGCCGCAGGGAAGCCGUUAAGUUUGCCGCCUGGGGAGUACGGUCGCAAGACUGAAACUUAAAGGAAUUGGCGGGGGAGCACCACAAGGGGUGAAGCCUGCGGUUCAAUUGGAGUCAACGCCGGAAAUCUUACCGGGGGCGACAGCAGAAUGAAGGUCAAGCUGAAGACUUUACCAGACAAGCUGAGAGGAGGUGCAUGGCCGUCGCCAGCUCGUGCCGUGAGGUGUCCUGUUAAGUCAGGUAACGAGCGAGACCCCUGCCUCUAGUUGCUACCAUUAUUCUCAGGAGUAUUGGAGCUAAUUAGAGGGACUGCCGUCGCUGAGACGGAGGAAGGAGGGGGCUACGGCAGGUCAGUAUGCCCCGAAACCCUCGGGCCACACGCGGGCUGCAAUGGUAAGGACAAUGAGUAUCGAUUCCGAAAGGAGGAGGCAAUCUCUAAACCUUACCGCAGUUAUGAUUGAGGGCUGAAACUCGCCCUCAUGAAUAUGGAAUCCCUAGUAACCGCGUGUCACUAUCGCGCGGUGAAUACGUCCCUGCUCCUUGCACACACCGCCCGUCGCUUCAUCGAAGUUGGUUCUUGGCGAGGUGAUGCCUAAUUGGUACUAUCGAACCUGGGGUCAGCAACGAGGGAG
rnacentral:rRNA from 1 species